rnacentral:rRNA from 1 species
AGAGAGAGACAUGCGCGCAUAUCAAUAAGCGGAGGAAAAGAAACUAACAAGGAUUCCCUUAGUAACGGCGAGUGAAGCGGGAAGAGCUCAAAUUUGAAAUCUUCAAGGUUUUACCUUGACGAAUUGUAGUUUAAAGAAGUGUUUUACUGCUGAAGUUUUGGUAAAAGUUCUUUGGAAUAGGACAUCAUAGAGGGUGAGAAUCCCGUAUUUGACCAUUAUUUUCAGCUUUGUGAUACACUUUCAAAGAGUCGGAUUGUUUGGGAAUGCAGUCCAAAAUGGGUGGUAAAUUUCAUCUAAAGCUAAAUAUUGGCGAGAGACCGAUAGCGAACAAGUACCGUGAGGGAAAGAUGAAAAGAACUUUGAAAAGAGAGUUAAACAGUACGUGAAAUUGUCGAAAGGGAAGCGUUUGACACCAGUGUUGUUUUCUCGAAAAUCAAUUAAAAAUGGCUCGAUUUUGUAUUGUUGAGACCUUAAAAGCUCACUGUACAUUUUUCGUGUCUUUUUUAAUGCACUUUUCGUUUAACAAGUCAACAUCAGUUUCUUUUGUUGUAAAAGGGUCAUUGGAAGGUGGCUUUCUUUUCGGAGAAAGUGUUUAUAGCCUUUGGCCUCUGCAAUCGAAGAGACUGAGGUCUGCAGCGUAGACUCUUCGGGGUUAGAUACAUUUGUGCUAAGUUAUAGCUUUUUAUAGACAACUUGUUGACUAUAAUUAGUCUUGUAGCUUACUCGCUUAUGCUAUUUUACCUACGCUUAGGAUGUUGAGUCGUAGAGCACGCAG